CCGAGCAGGACACCUCUCGUCCCGGCUGCACCUGGGGUCGGGUCGCUUGCUCGAGGCCCAGGUCCUGGUGAGGCCCUUGUGAUUAGCCACGGCCGCGUCCCGCCCCUCUGUCGUCACGGCACUGACCGUGAAGACCGCCCCCUCCCGCGGGUCCCCGGAGUGUGGAGGGGAAGACGCCGGAGGAUCAGAAGAGGGACGGACGUCCAUCCCAGAGCCCACUGCCGGGCCCCGACACCCAACAGGAGGGACCUUUUCUCAGGAACAGCAGAAAUCUCCACCCUGGCAGGGUGGGCACCGUUGUCUACAAGAAACUCCCAGAGACCCAAGACCUCUUCAGCCACAGGUAGAAAUGCUAAGCGUGGGAUUCAGUUUGCUGGGUUUGCAGUUGCUUCAGAACCUGGGUAGGAAGGGGAGGAAUAUUUGGGGCUCAAACUCUUGGGCUGGUUUGGUUGUGUCCACUGGAAAGCCCAGAAGCCACGGAUAGACUCUUAAAACUAACAUGAGAGUUCAACAAGGUUGCUGGAUACAAGACAAAUGCAUGUACACACACACACGAAUGCACACACACACCAGCAUCAAACAAUUAGAAAAUGGAAGUUAAAAUUCCAAUUUCACUUAUAACACAAAUGAAGUAUGUAGGGAAAAAUGUAACCAAAAUUGCUCAAAAUAUUAAAGAGCAAAUUGAAAAAUCUACUGAGAGGGGCACCUGGGUGGCGCAGUCGGUUAAGCGUCCGACUUCAGCCAGGUCACGAUCUCGCGGUCCGUGAGUUCGAGCCCCGCGUCAGGCUCUGGGCUGACGGCUCAGAGCCUGGAGCCUGUUUCUGAUUCUGUGUCUCCCUCUCCUUCUGCCCCUCGCCUGCUCACACUGUCUCUGUCUCAAAAAUAAAUAACGUUGAAAAAAAAAUUAAAAAAAAAAA
rnacentral:lncRNA from 1 species